UACGUAGGGCGCAAGCGUUGUCCGGAAUUAUUGGGCGUAAAGAGCUCGUAGGCGGUUUGUCGCGUCUGCCGUGAAAAUCCGGGGCUCAACCCCGGACUUGCAGUGGGUACGGGCAGACUAGAGUGUGGUAGGGGAGACUGGAAUUCCUGGUGUAGCGGUGAAAUGCGCAGAUAUCAGGAGGAACACCGAUGGCGAAGGCAGGUCUCUGGGCCACUACUGACGCUGAGAAGCGAAAGCAUGGGGAGCGAACAGG
rnacentral:rRNA from 1 species